UACGGAGGGUGCAAGCGUUAAUCGGAAUUACUGGGCGUAAAGCGUGCGCAGGCGGUUUGUUAAGUCUGCUGUGAAAUCCCCGAGCUCAACCUGGGAAUUGCAAUGGAUACUGGCAGGCUGGAGUAUGGUAGAGGAAGGUGGAAUUCCCGGUGUAGCAGUGAAAUGCGUAGAGAUCGGGAGGAACACCAGUGGCGAAGGCGGCCUUCUGGACCAAUACUGACGCUCAUGCACGAAAGCGUGGGGAGCAAACAGG
rnacentral:rRNA from 1 species